ACGCUCGACACCUACGGGAAGCAGCAGUCGGGAAUAUUGCGCAAUGGAGGAAACUCUGACGCAGUGACGCCGCGUAUAGGAAGAAGGUUUUCGGAUUGUAAACUAUUGUCGUUAGGGAAGAAAAAGGACAGUACCUAAGGAGGAAGCUCCGGCUAACUACGUGCCAGCAGCCGACGGUAAUCUGAGGCGGGCGUGGACGAAGGC
rnacentral:rRNA from 1 species